AUGGAGCUGCCGGAGCCGGACCUGACGGCGUCGGCGUCGCUGCAGGUGCAGCAGCAGUUCUACCAUGAAGCCGGCACGAAGAUGGCGGUGUUCAUGGGAUGCGAGAGCGGCGAGGUCGAGAUCGGGCUGUCGACUACAUCGGUGGCAGCGGCGGCCGUGGCGGAUCACGUGCACCAGUCGUUCCUGGAGGACCUCCUCCAGCUGCCGCCGGCAGGGCUGUCGUCUUCGUCCUCUCCCGUGCCGUCACUCUCGAUCGGGAGCCCGGAGUACUCCUCUCUCAUUCGCGCAAUGGCGACGCCGGUAGCAGCGCCGGGCGAGUCGUCCACGCAACCACCGAUGAUGCAGGCGUCGCCGCUGCCCGGCUUGCUCGCUCCGAUCGCCGAAGCCAACGACUACGCCUUAAUGGUGCAGGCAAUGCUCGCGGUCGUCCCCUCCUCUGCCAGCCACCGCUCGCAGCGAUCGUCGCCGCGGCGGACGACGGCGUUCAAGCCGUAUCGCGCGGCGCUCCCGCCAAGGGCGCGGCCACGGCCAGGCGCGCCGGGGCAGAGGAUGAUCAAGACGUGCAUCUCCCUCCUGGCAAGCGUGCACAUGGCAAUGCGCAACCGGCCGGAGCACGCCACGGCGCGCCGCGAGGACAGCAGCGCGCCGUCCACCACCAGCCAGCUGCACCACGUGAUCUCGGAGCGGCGCCGGCGCGAGCGGCUCAACGACAGCUUCCAGACACUCAGAGCUCUGCUCCCUCCCGGAUCCAAGAAAGACAAGGCCAACGUUCUUGCGAGCACGACGGAGUACAUGGCGAAGCUGGUAUCCCAGGUGACCCAGCUCCGAGAGAGGAACCUGCAGCUCGAGGCGCAGCUCGGCCUGAACCAAAGUGCAAGCGAUGAUAACCCCUCGGGGAAGACAGUCGAGGUCGAGGUGACCACCGGGGCGUCGACGUCGACAUCGACGGCGCCGAGUCAGCAGCCGCGGGAGGUGAGCGUGCGGGUGACGGUGCGGGCGGAGUGCGACAUGUCGGAGGUGCUGACCUCGCUGCUAGCUCGGCUCAAGGACACGGGGAGUUUCGCGGUGGUGUCUGUGGAGGCGAGACAGCAGAGCAGCGCGCUUGCACGGGCCAGCCUGACGUUGCGGAUGACGGAGGUUGGCGACGUCGUCGACGAGGCAUGGCUCGAGGAAGCUCUGGCGAAGGUUGUCGAGGACGCGGUGAUGAAGACGCCGCCGGUGCCACCCCCAAGGUCGCCGUAG
rnacentral:rRNA from 1 species